CGUUGAGCCGGCUUUGCUGCAGCCUUUCCUAGGCUUCCUUGUGAUCAUGUCUUCCAAAAAGAACAGAAAACGGCUGAAUCAAAGCGCAGACAAUGGUUCAACCUCGCCCUCUUCUGCUUCUUCUCUUUUGGGGCCCUCGGCAUCUUCUGCUGGGCCAGGAGCGGCGGCAACGGCCGGGAUUCUGGUUGUGACCAACUUCUUAGAAAAGGAUGACAAAGUUCCUAAAACAUUCCAGAAUUCCCUUGUUCAGCUUGGACUCAACACUAUGAAAUCUGCAAAUAUAUGUAUAGGUCGACCAGUGUUGCUUACCAGUUUGGAUGGAAAACAAGAGGUCUAUACAGCCUGGCCUGUGGCAGGAUUUCCUGGAGGCAAGGUUGGCCUGAGUGAAAUGGCACAGAAGAAUGUGGGCGUGAGGGUUGGUGAUGCCAUCCAAGUCCAGCCUCUGUUGGGUGCUGUGCUACAGGCUGAGGAAAUGGACCUGGCACUCAGUGACAAAAAUGUGGACAUUAAUGAAGAACAGCUGGCUGGUUGUCUUCUGAGAAAGCUGGAUGGCAAGAUUGUUUUACCAGGCAACUUUCUGUAUUGUACAUUCUACGGACGACCAUGCAGACUGCAAGUGUUGCGAGUGAAAGGGACAGAUGGCAUGAUAUUGAGAAGGCCUCAGAAUGACUCUGACACUGAUGCCCAGGGAAUGGCCUAUGAACAGUCCAGCAUAGAAACCAGUACCCUGGAUGUAUCCCUACAGCUAAGCCAGUUAGAUCUGGAAGAGCCUCGGGACCCAACAUCCAGCAGUACUCCCUGCAAACCAGCAGAUGAUAAAAUGUUAGAUAAAACUAGUGACAUUUUGUCGGAUGUUACACAGAGUCCUGGGAACAGCAGCAGACUUGGACUAGAGGAAGUCACAGGACUUAAGUGUAGUUUUAAUUCAGCCAGAGGAGAAAAUGAGCAACUUGUCAAUGAAGAGAGAUUGCUAAAGUCAGCAUGUGUGGGAACAAAGUGCAACACUGAUAUUUUUUAUUUUAUAUCUUCAACAACAAGAGUCAAUUUUGCAAAGAUUCAUACAAAUUCAAAAGUGCAAGAGGACCACUUCAAAGUAACUUACGGCAUGAUAGGAGGCUUAAGUAGUCAGCUGAAAGCGAUUAGAGAGAUGAUCGAAUUGCCUCUCAAACAGCCUGAACUUUUCAAGAGUUAUGGAAUUCCCCCUCCUAGAGGAGUGUUACUCUAUGGCCCUCCAGGUACUGGAAAGACAAUGAUUGCCAGGGCGAUUGCUAAUGAAGUCGGAGCCUAUGUUUCUGUAAUUAAUGGUCCUGAAAUUAUAAGCAAAUUCUAUGGGGAGACAGAAGCAAGGUUACGUCAGAUAUUUGCUGAAGCCACUCUACGGCACCCAUCAAUUAUUUUUAUUGAUGAGCUGGAUGCACUUUGUCCUAAAAGAGAAGGGGCUCAGAAUGAAGUGGAAAAGAGAGUGGUAGCAUCGCUGUUAACAUUGAUGGAUGGUAUUGGUUCAGAAGGAAGUGAAGGACAAGUGUUGGUCCUUGGGGCCACAAAUCGCCCUCAUGCCUUAGAUGCUGCACUUCGAAGACCUGGCCGAUUUGAUAAAGAGAUUGAGAUUGGAGUUCCUAAUGCUGCAGAUCGUCUAGAUAUUCUCCAGAAACUGCUUCAAAGGGUACCCCAUUUGCUCACUGAAUCUGAACUGUUACAGCUGGCCAAUGGUGCUCAUGGGUACGUUGGAGCAGACUUGAAAGCCUUGUGUAAUGAAGCAGGUCUCCAUGCCUUACGGAGAGUCCUGAAGAAACAGCCUAAUCUCUCUGAUAGCAAGAUGGCUGGUCUGGUGAAGAUUACUCUGAAUGAUUUCUUACAGGCGAUGAAUGACAUCAGGCCCAGUGCGAUGAGGGAAGUAGCAAUUGAUGUACCAAAUGUAUCAUGGUCAGAUAUAGGAGGACUGGAAAAUAUCAAACUGAAAUUGAAACAGGCUGUGGAGUGGCCCUUGAAACACCCAGAGUCUUUCAUUCGAAUGGGUAUUCAGCCACCUAAAGGUGUUCUUCUGUAUGGACCACCUGGCUGCUCUAAAACAAUGAUUGCAAAAGCUUUGGCCAAUGAGAGUGGCCUGAAUUUCCUAGCUAUAAAGGGGCCUGAAUUAAUGAAUAAAUAUGUUGGUGAAUCUGAAAGAGCGGUUAGAGAGAUCUUCCGAAAAGCGAGAGCAGUGGCCCCGUCCAUUAUUUUCUUUGAUGAACUUGAUGCCUUAGCAGUUGAAAGGGGCAGUUCUUCAGGUGCCGGGAAUGUAGCUGACCGUGUUCUGGCUCAGCUCUUAACGGAAAUGGAUGGUGUUGAACAGUUAAAGGACGUGACAAUUUUGGCAGCUACUAACCGCCCAGAUAGGAUAGACAAGAGAUUAAGGAUUUGGGAACCUGAACUGGGAUCCAGGGGAUGCCCAUAACAACCAGUGAGGUUCAUGGAACCUCAUGGAACAUAUAUCUUCUAAAGAGAUUUAAUAAUAUUCCAUCCAUCAUGCUAAAACAAAAACAGACAUUGGGGACUAGAUCUAUCUUCCAAGGCCAGCCCUUGAUGAUGACAACAACGAUGAUGAUGAUGAUGAUUUUACCUUUACAGGUGCAUGGAACACAUUACAACUAAAUUCCUAGACCACAAGGAAUUCUCAGAUACUCAAGACAAAUGACUGCUUUAGAGCUAGAGAUUUUUCAUUAGUGUGCCUCUAUAAAUUUGUAUUUUCUUAUUGUUUCUUGAGAGUUCUCUUAUUGCCUUCACUGUUAAAACAGUUUUUGUGGAGUCUGGGGAGUCUAAGCUCCCCAUGUCCCCACAACUGUGGGGGAGGAGUCUAAGCUUACCAUGUCUCACAGAUACAACUGUGGGGGAAGAGUGUAAUUUUACCAUGUCCCACAGAUACAACUAGGUAACUCUCACAUCAGUGUGAAUAACCCAGAAAAUGACCCAAAGACUGGCCGAACAGAUUCUCCACAGCUAUGUAGAGAAGAUGCCAUGUUAAGGAGGGAAGGAAGGUUGGAGACCCAGUUAUGACCCACAGGAUGGUCCCUGGGAAGGAGUGGUGUCACAGGCACAAAAAGGGGAGAUAAGCAGACUCACACCAGGGAGCCCACGCAGGAAAUUUCACAAGUUCUUACAAUGAAGCAGACUUUAAAUCUGAACUUAAAAAAUCAGCAGACUUAGCUCUGGGAGAGCUUGGAGGGCUAGAGGAAAUAGUCCCUGCCCUUAAAGAGACAGCAUGGCAGACAUCACCCUGGAGAUAUAGCAUAGAUGCAGUAGUUUGAAAAUCACAUGCGGUAUAGGGGAGGGAAAUUUGUUUACUAUUCUCAGAGCAUGUGCUGGAAGUACAGGGACCUAUGGGGGCAUCUCCAGGAAUAGAGGAUUUUCCCCUUGCCUACCCUCAGCUUGAGAACAUGGCACUGUGUUGACACUCUCUACCUAACUUGAAAACAGUGUGCUCUACCCAUACAUUCCCCUGUGGACACACCUCCUCUCAUGUGUCCCCAGCACAAGGUCUCUUCCCACAGCAGAUCAGUGCAAACUGUGCUAACACCUGCCUGUCCUGCUAGCUUCUGUGGAUUCACCCUUCCCAAUACUCUUUUGGCUAGAGCCUGUCCAAAGCUAUGCCAUAAACCUGGCAGUGUGUAUGCAGCCCCAAAGGACCAGCACCACUUCAAAAUGACUCUUGCCCCAGGAAGAGGGAAAGUUAGUCACACACACACCCUAGGAGCGGGUGGCCCUAGGAGCAGGCUGGGAGCAGACAGCCAGUCUGACUGCAAGCCCUGCCCACCAACGAAAACUUCUCAGGGGACAAAAGAGGGAAAGUGCCCUGAAGUUCAUUGCUACUGCAUUUCUGACAAAUGCCUGAUCUGACUCAACUCAAGGCCAAGGCAUCUCCAGACCAGCUGAUCUGCAGCACGACAAAGAAACACUGCCCACAACAGACAAAGAGUGCCAUUGUAGACAACUGGACUAAAGGAAAAAAAUGGGUCAACCACAGUAGCAGGGCACACAAGACACAUAGGAGAUACCCCUGAGGCACCAUGUUCUGGUGAACUGGGGACACUGCUCUGCAGAGCACUACAGGACCUCUUCUUCAUAAGGCCACUUCAAGAGCAAGAGAUGUAGCUGACUUUCCUAAUACAUAGAAAUAGACGCAGUUAAGAAAAAUGAGAACAUGGAUCAAUAUGUUCCAAAUGAAAGGACAGGAGAAAAUCACAGCCACAGAAGUAAGUGACACAGAGAUAAAUAUGCUUGAUAGAGGACUGAAAGUAAUGAUCACAGAGGUAUUUAUAGGACUUGCUAAAAAAAGUGGAGGACCUGAGACAGGAAACAAACAAAAAAAAAA